UGUGUAAAAUAUAUUUUAUAAUAAGUUUAAUUAUUUAAAUAAAUUAAAAUGAUAAUUUAGGUUAAAGUUUAAAUUUAAUUUAAUUUAAUAGGUAAUAAAAUUUUUAUAACAUUAGGUAUUUUAGAAUAAUUAUGAUAUAAAACUGAACUUAAUUUUAUUAUAUAAUUUUAAUUUUAAAAUGAAUUAUUUUAAAAAUUUUGUCGUUAUGUAUUUAGAAAUUAUUCAAAAAGAAUAGCACCUAAUAGUUAAUAAUAUGUCUAAGGAGAUUAAAAUAUUUUAUGGCGGUUUAGAAUAUUUAAAUUACUAAAUUGUAAAUUAAAGAAUAAAAUUUAAAUAAAGUAAAUUAAAUAA
rnacentral:rRNA from 1 species